GGUGAUGCUGAUGCUGAAAUGUCCAUGACCAAACGCAAUAACCUAAGCAAAGUAAGUUCAAAAUCAACUCUUGACUGGACUUAUUGCCCAGGGAAUGGAUUUCCUGCCCAAAGGUCUGCUCCCACCCUCAAUUCUACGCUUCCUCAUUGUUUUGUUCAUUAGCAGCAUCUCUGAAGGGAAGAGAGAGGCAAUACAGGGUGAGUUAGUCAUUCAAUUUGGGAGUAUCUCUGAUGGUAUAAGAAGAUCGAAAUUUUUCUCUCUCCUAUCCCCAAACCAUGCACAGCCUGUCAGAAACCUUAGAGGGGAAAAAUAAGGUUUAGAAGGCUGAUUAAAAAAAAAAAUCUUGACUCUCACAAACUGCAGUAGAUGCUUCAGACACACACCUGGCGUGCUUGCUCAUUCUGUGAGGGUUGUGCAUGGAAAAGAUCAACCCACUCUCAAAAUAGAAUCCAGAUAUACAAAGGAAUCUGCAAUAGCCUCACGUAUUUGUACACAAUGCAGUGUAGCUUCUGGUAUUUUUAUUACCAAUCAGAAGAGGCUUGUCACAGUCAGCCAUCUGCUUGAGUCACUGCCUGGCUGCAAUGUCCGUGGCUUUAGAGAAGCAACAUCAAAUCAAAGCCCAGACUCAUGGAAAGUCACAAAGCAGGGAGCCGACAGUGCCCUGCAAGUGACACCCUUCAGUGUCCUGAAGGACCCAGUCAUCUCCUACGUCAGAAAAACUUGCCUGCACGCCUGGAUUCUUAAAGAGAACAAAUGCUUAUGACAUCAGAUCAGAAGACUUGAGGCAGAAAGGCAGUCAAGAAGGAAGUCACGCAAGAGAAUGACCAAGCAAGUCUAAUUCCUUUUCAUGACAAAGAACGGGCUUCAAACAGGCAUCUUCCCACUGCAAGAAACUUGGUUCCAGGACCUCCCUGCUCCCUUUAUCAAAAUGCAAGGAUGCCGGAAAUAAACCCUGACACCUAUGGUCAAUUAGUCUUUGACAAGGGAGGCAAGAACAUAA